rnacentral:tRNA from 1 species
AGGAGUAUGAUGUAAUGGUAGCAUAACGGUCUCCAAAAUCGUCAGUAAAGGUUCAAGUCCUUUUACUCCUGCCA